rnacentral:rRNA from 1 species
CAAAGGCUUGGUCCUGACUUUACUGUCGACUUUAACUAAACUUACACAUGCAAGUAUCCGCCCCCCUGUGAGAAUGCCCACAACUCCCUGCUUGGGAACUAGGAGCUGGUAUCAGGCACAAGCCCCGCUAGCCCACGACGCCUUGCUUAGCCACACCCUCAAGGGAACUCAGCAGUGAUAAAUAUUAAGCCAUAAGUGAAAACUUGACUUAGUUAAGGUUAAGAGGGCCGGUAAAACUCGUGCCAGCCACCGCGGUUAUACGAGAGGCCCAAGUUGACAAACAACGGCGUAAAGAGUGGUUAGGGGAUUUACUAAACUAGAGCCGAACGCUUUCAGAGCUGUUAUACGCACCCGAAAGUAUGAAACCCAAUUACGAAAGUAGCUCUACUCAUCCUGAACCCACGAAAGCUAAGAAACAAACUAGGAUUAGAUACCC